rnacentral:piRNA from 1 species
AUGAGAAUAGCAGUGCUAAUGCGAUGAGGU